AUGGAUAUGGGUUAGGUGACCUAGCACAUGGGGGAUGGGCCAAUUUAUUUGGUCGGCUUAGACGAAUUGGAAGGGUGUGUUGUUUUAGGCGACUUGGGAAAUGGGUUAGGUGACCUAGCACACCGGGGAUGGACGAGUUGAUUGGUCGGCUUAGGUGAAUUGAAAGGGUGUGUUGUUUUAGGCGACUUGGCCAAUGUAUUAGACGACCUAGCAUACCAGGGAUGGACGAGUUGUUUGGUCGGCUUAGGCGAUUGGAAGGGUACGAUGUUUUAGGCGACCAGGUCAAUGGGUUAGGCGAGCUAGUAUGCCAGGGAUGAGCGAGUUUGUUGGUCGUCUUAGGCGAUUUUGAAAGGGUUUGUUGUUUUAGGUGACAUGGAGAUGGGUUAGGUGACCUAGCACACGGUGGAUGGGGAGUUUGUUUGGUCGGAUUAGCCGAAUUGGAAGGGUGUGUUGUUUUAGGUGACUUGGGCAAUGGGUUCGGUGACCUAGCACACCGGGGAUGGAUUAGUUGGUUGGUCGGCUUAGGCGAUUGGAAGGGUAUGAUGUUUUAGGCAACUAGGUCGAUGGGUUAGCCGAGCUAGUACGUCAGGGAUGGGGGAGUUGGUUAGUCGGCUUAGGCUAUUUGGAAGGGUGUGUUGUUUUAGGCGACAUGGUUUAGGCGUGUAUUAGGUAUCUCCGUCUGUGGAUUAGGCGUGUGAGCGACUUAGUGAUUGGAUUUGAUCGAGUUGGGCGUGGGAUGCAAUGACUAUAUAGUGGAGUGGUAAGUGACUCCACUCGUUUGGUGGUCGUGGGCGACUUAGUUCGGUCGGCUCGGUUUGUGGAUGAGCAGGGCGACUAUGAGUUGGGAUUGAGACCAC
rnacentral:lncRNA from 1 species